GUUUACAUGCAUGAGUUAGCCUUUUAUGCAUUUUCUCCCGCAUCUAUAACACGAAGAUUGUUUACUCUGACAACCUCCCGGGUUGCUAAGAGAAUCGAAUAAGAAAUAAUAUGAUAAUAGUGCUUUGAAAAGGACAGUAACAAAACCUAACGUUUCGAUCAAGCUUUCAAAGGACCUUUUCUUUAUUUUAUUUGAUAUAUAGAAACAAAAUGUUUUUUGUUUGAGCCUCAUUUAAUAUGGACAUAUUCUAAAAGGUGAUGGCACACAGACUGUUUCUAACACAAUCCUGUAGCCUGAAAGCCCCAGAGACACUGACGAAUUUUGCCAACAAGAAGACUAUCUUAUAAAGUUAAAAAUCCCAAACUUAAGAAAAUCAUUUCCCCCUUGACAAGUCUUAAUCAAAAUCUGCCCAUGCUGGUCAUUUAUUCUUUCAGCGCAUGUGAUU
rnacentral:lncRNA from 1 species